GGAGGGACUGUGGCUCAAUGGUAGAGAAUCUGCUAUGCAUGCAGAACAUCUUAGGUUCAAUCUCUGGCAUCUCCA
rnacentral:tRNA from 1 species